UUCAAGUCUGCGUCAGUUGAACGCUGGCGGGAUGCUUUACUGCAAGUCCGAACGGCAACACGGACUUCGGUCUGGUGGCGAGUGGCGAACGGGUGAGUAAUGUAUCGGAACGUGCCUAGUAGCCCGGGGGGAUAACUACGCGAAAGCGUAGCUAUUACGCCCUUCCCCGGGGGAAAGCGAAGUUAGCUGGGCCUACAUAUUAAAACAACCGAUAUCGGAUUAGCUUCAGUUGGUGGGGUAACGGCUCACCAAGGCGACGAUCCGUAGCUGGUUUGAGGGGACGACCAGCCACACUGGACUGAGACACGGCCCAGACUCCUACGGGAAGCAGCAGUGAGGAAUUUUGGACAAUGGGGAAACCUGAUCCAGCCAUCCGCGUGUGCGAUGAAGGCCUUCGGGUUGUAAAGCACUUUUGGCAGGAAAGAAACAGCUGCAGGAUAAUACCCCGUGCAACUGACGGCUUACCUGCAGAAUAAGCACCGGCUAACUACGUGCCAGCAGCCGCGGUAAUACAUGGGUGCAAGCGUUAAUCGGAAUUACUGGGCGUAAAGCGCGAGCGGUUCGGAAAGAAGAUGUGAAAUCCCAGAGCUUAACUUUGGAACUGCAUUUUUAACUACCGAGCUAGAGUGUGUCAGAGGGAGGUGGAAUUCCGCGUGUAGCAGUGAAAUGCGUAGAUAUACUGGGAGGAGACACCGAUGGCGAAGGCAGCCUCCUGGGAUAACACUGACGCUCAUGCACGAAAGCGUGGGGAGCAAACAGGAUUAGAUACCCUGGUAGUCCACGCCUAAACGAUGUCAACUAGCUGUUGGGGCCUUCGGGCCUUGGUAGCGCAGCUAACGCGUGAAGUUGACCGCCUGGGAUGCAGUCGCAAGAUUAAAACUCAAAGGAAUUGACGGGGACCCGCACAAGCGGUGGAUGAUGUGGAUUAAUUCGAUGCAACGCCAACCUUACCUACCCUUGACAUGUCUGGAAUCCCGAAGAGAUUCGGUGCUCGCAAGAGAACCGGAACUAGGUGCUGCAUGGCUGUCGUCAGCUCGUGUCGUGAGAUGUUGGGUUAAAAUUCUGCUUGAGCGCAACCCUUGUCAUUAGUUGCUACGAAGGGCACUCUAAUGGGGCUACCGGUGACAAACCGGAGGGGGAGGUGGGGAUGACGUCAGGUCUCAUGGCCCUUAUGGGUAGGGCUUCCACGUCACAUACAAUGGUCGGGACAGAGGGUCGCCAACCCGACCAAUCCAGAAACCGAUCGUAGUCCGGAUCGCGAUCUGCAACUCGACUGCGUGAAGUCGGAAUCGCUAGUAAUCGCGGAUCAGCAUGUCGCGGUGAAUACGUUCCCGGGUCUUGUACACAUACGCCCGUCACACCAUGGGAGUGGGUUUUGCAAGUAGUUAGCCUAACCGUAAGGAGGGCGAUUACCGCGGUGAUUCAUGACUGGGGUGAAGUCGCUAACCUGGGUAG
rnacentral:rRNA from 1 species